AAGUCAGUCUUGGGAGAAACGUGAUUAAGUAAACAACGUUUAAACCGGUGAAGCGCUUAGAAAUUGUUGUUAUUUUUAACUUGUUAACGGAAAGAAGUGUAUAACAAAAAAAAAACCUAAACUGAUAAAAUUAACAAAAAAAUAGAAAUAGAAAUAACUUCUUAAGCGCAGUUUUUGUUAAAACGCGAUAAAGAAAAAAGUAUUAAACAAAAUUUGAAAAAGAAAAAAGCAAUAUAUAGAAAGAAAUUUUGCACAAAUAAAGAGGAAGAAAGAAAUCAGCAUACGCAACGAAUGAAUUUAGCAACGCACACAAACUAACUGAAGACUAACGCAUUGGAACCGGUUAAUAGAUAAUGAUAGUAAUAAUAAAUAACAUGCUUGGAAAAACGCAUGAAAAAUGUUACUGAUCUUGGCCAGAGAAAUCAAUGAAAAAGAAAGUGAAUGUUUCUACCGACAACGAGUUGUCAGAAACAAGUAAUAACGAAGAAAACGCCAACAAAUACAAAAAGAAAAUUUAUUAAAAUCCAGAUUUUUCUUAUGCAAACAUUUUGUAUUUUGUUUAAAGAUCGAAAAUUACGUUAGAAAACGAUAUUAAUGAUCAGUUGACUGCAAUUAAGUUGUCAGAUAAUAUAGAAAGAAUUAAUUUAAAAAUUAAAAGACCUUUAAGAAAAGUGAAAUUUUUGGCGAAAAAAAUUUAAGUUAAUAACACACACAAAACACAAAUGUUUAACACUAUGCGAGAAGAUGAUAUAGAAUUUGCCAUUAAGGUGGUAAUAGUGGGCAAUGGUGGAGUGGGUAAAUCGUCGAUGAUACAACGUUACUGUAAGGGAAUCUUUACAAAAGAUUAUAAAAAGACCAUAGGAGUAGAUUUCCUAGAAAGACAAAUCGAAAUCGAUGGUGAGGAUGUGCGCAUUAUGCUGUGGGAUACAGCGGGACAAGAAGAAUUCGAUGCCAUCACCAAAGCCUACUAUCGAGGUGCUCAAGCCUGCGUUCUCACCUUCUCUACCACAGAUCGAGCUUCAUUCGAAGCUGUGCGUGAGUGGAAGCGUAAAGUAGAAAAUGAAUGUCAAGAAAUACCCACAGUGAUAGUUCAAAAUAAAAUCGAUCUCAUUGAUCAGGCCGUAGUGACGGCCGAUGAAGUCGAAUCAUUAGCUCAGCAAUUGAAUUGUCGUCUUAUAAGAACCUCCGUUAAGGAGGAUGUUAAUGUGGCUUCCGUAUUUCGUUAUUUGGCCACCAAAUGUCAUCAACUAAGUCAGGCCUCCUAUACGGAACAGCAACAGCAGCAGCAGCAGGGCUCUCAAAUUAACGGUACGCAUAGUCAUGAAAGUCACAAGACCAUUAGUGCAUUUAGUCCUACAUUUACCAAAUCAAAGUCCACGCCGGGCACUAUAAAAUUGCAGAAAAGUACAACGGCACGAAAGCGUAAAAUUAUAUUGAAAAAAUGUGGCAUAGUAUAAAAAACAGCAACAACAACAAACAUUUAAAAAAAAACUAAAAUAACACAAAAAAAAAAACAAAAACAAAUCAUAUCUCAUUAUUGUUUGUUUGUAUAAGAAAGCGGCCAAUAGUAAUUAAAACUAAAAAAAAAAAUAUUGUUACUCAUCUCAAAAAAUUCAUCAACAAAAACGAAGCAAACAGUUUCCAAAAAAUUAUUGGAGCAUAAUUAACACCUUCAUCAUAUAUACAUAUGAAUACAAACAUACAUACGCUAUACUCCUAAUGAUUUUGUAGAAAUUUUUGUGUAAUUAAUUAUAAAGACGAAAAUUGUUUAAAUAAAAUACAAAAGAUAAACAAGAGUAAUAAUAUCUAAACAUAAAAACACCUUCCCCCCACACACACACACAACAAACGCUUAAUUAAAACCAGUGCGUAGACUCGCAAGCCAACAAAAACCGGCUUCCUUUUCCCUGUUGUCCAUUGAUGAAUAAAAAUU
rnacentral:misc_RNA from 1 species